ACACUUCCACUUUGCAUUGGCAGCUAAGUGUUUAUAACCCUGUGACUUUAACACUUCAUGACUGAGAGCUGCUGCUCAGCAACUUCACCCACAGCAACCAUGACCCUGAUCAGCGUCUUCAUCUGCACACUGGUGCUCUGGGCUCAAGGAUCCAGAGGUCAGGUGACUGUGACUCAGACUCCUUCAGUGCAAACUGUUGCUCCAUCAAACACAGUCACCAUCAACUGCAGAUUCAACACUGCUGUUUAUCACGACUGUGGACCAACUGGUGUGUCAUAUGACUGUCUAGCCUGGUACCUACAGAAACCUGGAGAAGCUCCUAAACUUCUAGUGCACUAUGUGAGUCACCUGUUUUCAGGGACUCCAGCUCGCUUUAAAGGCAGUGGAUCUAAGACUGACUUCACGCUGACCAUCAGUGGAGUCCAGGCUGAAGAUGCAGGAGAUUAUUACUGUCAGAGUUACCAUAGUGGUAACGUGUUCACACAGUGUUACAGCGCCGUACAAAAACCUCAUCACAGAGAAGCUGAGAGAGACAACAGGUGCUGAGGAGGAUGUGAUAAAGCACAAUGACACACACUGUGAACAGGAGAAAACACAC